ACCUCGAGACCCUGAAGAGGGAGAACAAGAAUCUGCAACAGGAGAUUUCUGACCUCUCUGAGCAGCUUGGAGAGACUGGAAAGAGCAUUCAUGAGAUAGAGAAAGCCAAGAAGACAGUGGAGUCCGAGAAAGCAGAGAUCCAGACUGCACUAGAAGAAGCCGAGGGCACCCUAGAGCAUGAAGAGUCCAAGAUUCUUCGUGUGCAGCUGGAGCUGAAC